GAAGUAAUGUUGGGGUAAAACCAUCGUUCUUUUAGGCCUCAGUUUAGAAGGCUUAUCAGGUGUGCUUAUUGCUAAUACCAGAGGGACUGAUUGGGAGGAGUUCACAGCAUCUAUAAAUGGAAAAAGAUGUCUUUAGAAGAGUGGAGUUGCAGUCCUGUGAGAAAAUUUGGAAGAAGGCUUUUGUACCUCAAGAGUUUGAUUUGUUUGUGUGGGAAGCUGUUCAGAGUCUUUACUAUCUGCAGUGUCAUCAGUAAUUGUAUUAUGGAUGUGCUAAUGGUAAAUGUCUCUGAUUCUUGGAUAUUCUGGUGCCAGCUCUGAGAUUCCUUGGGUAUUAGUUUUGAAAGGAAAGGAAGCUACACUGGUCUACUACUUUGCACAGAACUCUGGCCUUCAGAUGGAAUGCUGAGUCAUUGAGCGGAAGACGUAACUGACUGUUUAUGUCCCACAAUCUGAAUGGAUGAUGAUCGGUUCAGAUAAGUAUAACAAAGGAAGCCUCCAUCCACUACUUACAUAUGCUAACUUCAAGAUAGCACAAAGUCUGUGAAAGGGAAUAUUCCCAAACCCCAAGAAUUAUGUGAUCUCGCACAUCUGUCUACCAUCUAUUUAAGAGAUGAAAAGUGGAUGACUAAACAGAUGUUAACAAAGCAGUUUACCCCACUUCCUGGAAGACUACCAGAGGAAUAGAGCCAUCGACACAAAUAUUUUAAAAGGAAUGAUAAACUUGUUCAUUCUCCAGCUACCUCACCCCAGUCCAUUUCUUUAGAGAUGGACUCUGUCCCAUCAAAUAGUGGGUGAAAUGCACAGAAACUUAUGCUAGAGCAGCAGCAGCCAUUACAGGACAUUUGUGCACAGACACACACGGCCUACAGGCAACAUGUCAGACUAACAAAUUCACAUUUGGCCCAGCCUUGGUAUGUAUAAAGAAAUGGAAGCUUCUUGAGGAAACCCAUGGAGACAUAGGGAGGACACUCGGCAUUCUAGUAAAGGACUGAAACGGCAUGCAAAACAACGAGAGACAGUAGUGAUAACUUUUCAAAACAUAUUUGCCUAGUUAUUUUAGCACAGUACAAAACAAAUUAAAAUGCACUACUGGCUGAAAAGACUUCCAGACUUUGACUAAUUCCAGAUGCUAAGAUACCUAUUUGCUUCACAACAUAGUGCACUAUAACAUCAUGUGUAAAGUUGAAGAACGACAGCUGUCAAAAGCCCCAAGGUGAUGGAGUGGACAAAUAUUAAACUUAGUAAAAAGAACGUUUUCACUGAUGAAUACUUAUUUGUGCCAUGGCUCACACAACAAAAGCACAAGAAAAGCUUGAUUUUUAAAACAAUAAUCAAGUCACUAAUGAUUCCUCACCAUUCUAUAUUAAGCACGUAUAAAGCUUUUAAUGUAUAUUCCAAAACUGUUGAACUUCUUUCCUGCCUCAGCAGGAUCCCAAUCUACUACACUUCAACAGCAUUCUGGUUUGUACUACACAAACAUUGAAGAUCUGAAGAAAUAUAGAGACAAAGCCUGGUGAUACUAACUUAUUAUAAAAUCACAUCCAUGCAACCAUGUGGCAUAGUCAUGCCUGCACUUCAGCUUAAGGCAUUAUGCAUCUUUUUGGACUAUAACUCGUAUCAUAAUUAUUUUUUUGAGAUGGAGGUAAUUUUUUCUAGGGUGUAGGAUUUUGUUUCUGACAGGAAUAGUCUGCGUAUUGCACAUGAUGGUUGUCUCUUAUUAUGUUAUAGUGUUAUUUGUGUUAUUUUAAGGCUGUACUCAGUAGUGUAAGAUACUUGCAACUUUCCUACAUGAUCAAAAUAGUUUUAAACUGUCUGAAGCAUACUCUCUCUGUCCUGUAACUUUAGACAUGACAAUGGAAUUGCAUUUUUUUUGGAGGGGGUAAUUUUCAUUUAUGGUUAUUGUGUAAAGUGUUUUGUCUUUUGGGUAAAUGGCUUUCUGUUUUCAGGAUUUUCAUUAAUCUAAUUAGCUCUGACUAAUGCGUGAUGUGGGUAGAUUUUGCACAACUUUAUACACCAUGAAGUGUCCACAAGUAAAACAUUUCAUACUAAGGACAUAUUUGAUUUAACCCUUCAUUCAAGUCCAUGAGAUAUAUUGCUAGAUAGGCAGAGAGAUGGAUAAAUAAGCAAACGAUUAAAUGAUGUAGAGACAGGAGUACCCAUGUGUACAUAUACAUGCAUGUAUAUCUGACAUUUUCCAGAGUGAUGUUCUAGACUCCUGCAUUAUUUGUUGCACACU